ensembl:snoRNA SNORA70 Small nucleolar RNA SNORA70
CUGCAGCCAAUUAAGUUGACUGUUCUCCUCUCCCCCUGGUGUCCCAGUGUGCACUGGCUGCAGGCAGCAGCCUCCUUGGUAGUGUACGUAGCCUGUUGCUUGUAUGGGUUUCCCUGAUGGACCUUGAAGACAGCC